GUCUCACUUUGUCGUCCAGGCUGGAGUGCAGUGGCGCGAUCUCGGCUCACUGCAACCUCUGCCUCCUGGGUUCACGCCGGUUGUCCUGCCUCAGCCUCACAAGUAGCUGGGACUGCAGGCGCCUGCCACUACGCCCGGCUAAUGUUUUGUAUUUUUAGUAGAGAUGGGGUUUCACCGUGUUAGCCAGGAUGGUCUCAAUCUCCUGACCUCGUAAUCUGCCCGCCUCAACCUCCUAAAGUGGUGGGAUUACAGGUGUGAGCCACCGCGCCUGGCCUAAAUAAAAAGUCUUGAAAUGGAAGAUAUUCACCUAACCCUCAACAAACCAUGAUGUAAUGAAGCACGAAUCACACCAUUUUGUCUCUUUCCUAAUUCAAAUAGGUCCCUGGCAUUAGUUCAUGCCGAGACUAGAAAACUGAACCCUAGUACUGUUUUUUAAAACAGUUUUAACAGAAAAUUAAACUGUAUGUUUGAAAUCAUAAGUAAAAGUUUGUUGCUUGCAUAAGAGUAGCCUCUUGAUUCUCAUAGUGGUAAUUUUGUGUCAUAUCAUUUAGAUGUUGAACCAUUUCAUUUGUGCAUGUGUAUAUGUGCCCAAAUUCAUCCUCUUUGUUUAGAAUCUGCUUACAAAUAAAACUAAUAGAAUCUGAAUACAUUUAUCAUAUAUUCUUCCAGGGUUUUUCUUAACUGACUAUAGAGAGUGGCUGUAAGUUCUGGGGCAAAGCUUGAUUGUAUUUUCAGUGAUGUAUAGUUACAUUGUUUCAUGUUAAAAUCAUCGUGCAUGGAAAGUGAAAUGUGCGUAUGAUUUUAAAUUAUUGUAAUAUGUACUAUACCCUUCCCCUAAACUUCUUUCAUUGAUGAUACACAGAAUUCCUCUAUUUUUGCUUGAAAAUAGUCCUUUAGAUUGGAGUAGCCUUUUCUUAGAUCCCUCUAUGGUUCCAUGAGAUGAGGUGAUACCUGCAAAGCACUUUUAAAGAUAUUUUUUUAGGCUAAUGUCCAAGAUACAGCAUUGAGGAGGCAGCUAUGUCUAAUGAGGGCUCUCUUGUUUGCUAGAGAUGAGAGAAAUGUAUACUAAUCAUUUUAAUUUGUACUUAAAAUACAUUUUACUAAUCAUAUUGAUUUUAAAUAUGACAAAUUCUUCUAGUAGAUACUAAUCUUUCUUGUUUAUCAUAUUGUCCUAGAGAAGCCUAGGUAAAAAUGGGUUCCACCUAGUCUGUUUGUAUAACACCUUCCCCCGUCCCCUCUCCAUCCCUGCCAAUUGGGCUCUAUGCAUAUUGACAAGCAAAUAAGAAAACCUUAGGUUUCUUGUAUUUGAAUUUCCAAAACAAUAAAAGGUUUUGACUCAAGAUUUGCAUUCAAGAAGAGGCAGAAAUUUUGUCUUAUCUUUUUAUCAUUUUGUGAACUUGUGUUUCUCUGUAUGCUUAGAAAAUUUUACACACAAGGAAUGUUUGAAAAAGUGAGAAUUUUAGAGUGCUUGGGUGGUUUUUAUUUGGUCAGUGCUGAUGUGUUAGGUGUUUAGGGAAAUAAUGCUUCAGGACCUUUUUGACAACACAGCUUCAUGAAUGACUGGGGGAUAUUUAUGUUUGUGCUGAGAAAAGGGAGGGAGUGGGCAGGUUGGAGUGGGGACCUUUCCAUUGAAAGCAGUGCAGUCAGCUGUUUCGUAGAUGCAUUUUUUCUUUAUGCUUGUAACAUUGUUCUUGUGUCCAUAAUUGACUGAAAUGUCAAGCUCCAGGAAUGCAAGGCAUUUAUCAGGUGACCAGAAGUAGAACCUUGUUGAUUAUGAAAUGGAAGAAUAAUGUCAAGGUAGUGGGGGUAAAAUGACAAAUGAGAUUUUACUGGUGAAUUUCCAUGCUUAGUAUGUACAUUAACCUCUUUUUAAGUUGCAUGUUAAUCUGGUAUAACGUAUUGUGUCUGGUUUAUGCUUUGAGUAAAAAGGAAAAAAAAAGACUUGAGUUACAAUUGUUACUCUAUUAUGUACUAUUACAUAUACCUUUUCUUUUAGAAAGGGUUAAUUAUAAUUACUAUUCACACCUC
rnacentral:lncRNA from 1 species